rnacentral:lncRNA from 1 species
UCCUGCAGCUGCUGGCCAAAUAGUCCUUUAUCCUGUGAGGUAGAACCCUUUACUAAAAUUUCCUCUUCCUUGGCAAAGGCUGCUGUUAAAGGCUCCGGACAAUGUGUAUGAAGUGCCCUUUAUUAUGGCUUUUGAUUUUUCUCAUCCAUGAAGAAUUUCUGCACCACCUUCAAAUUCCCAAUGGGUCUUGUCUAAGAUUUGUUCUCCCCCAAAGUAACUCACUAAUUGGUGAAUUACACAGGUCUUAUGAUCAUCUUCACAAUGGUUGGUACACCUUGAAAUCAGUAUAUCAAGCAUGUUGGAAUAUUUGAAGGAGGCUGAAAAAUAAAGCAUUUUAUAUGUAUUAUCUCAUAAGAUUUAUAGGCAUCAUAGAGGGAUACCUCUUGUCAGCACUCCUAUUUUACAGAUGAGAAAACCAAAAUUUACAGAGAUGUAUAAUUUUUCCCAGAUUAAUCACCUAGCAGUUGGUUUAGCUGGAAUAUCAGGUAGAUUGGACUCCAGAAUAUCAGCUCUAAUCUGGUUGGUUGAUUUGUUUGUUUUUCUGACUAGUUUGUAGGUUCUCUUCCUCUUGAUGUGGGAGAACAGUUUUGUGCCCUUGUGAAAUUUAGUUCCAAGGAAAAGAGAGGCAAUCAGCGAUUAGAAUGGCCAGGUUAUAAUGAUGUGGUAAUCAAACAUUUCAAAGGAACUAAGUGCCACCUCUUGGCCUGGGUCACACCACUGGACAAGUAGGUCCUACAACCCCUGAUAAAAGCAGAGUGUCCAUUGGGCCAGCACAGCCUUCCUCUUUGAUCUGGGUAUUUGGUGUUCUCUGGAGUAAUCAAGAUCUGGGUGAUGGGGCAAUGGAAAUGGAACAUCAUUUGGGAGUGGCAGGAACCAGAGGAUUAUGGGUAUAUGCUCUCUUGAUGAUGGCAAGUUCUAUGUUAUGUGCUCAUAAGUAACUGAAGAAGACUACCAGGUUCUCAUUCAUGUAAGACCUCAAACAAUUAUGCAAGUGACCUCACAGCAAAAUCUGAAAGAACUCCCUCUGGAUGCAGUGGAUUCCAGGCUGAUGAUAGAUGCACAGUUUAACACUGAUGGCAAUUACACCAUGUUCUGCAGCAAGGAUGCAAAUGAUCACAACUGAGGUUGAAAAGGAUAAAAAACAAGGUAGGAUGGUUUUUGAAAUUUGAUAGGUUUCCAUCUAUUUUUGCAUGCUUUGACCAUGUUAAUGCUCUUUUCCUUAAAGACAAGUUUUUUUAGAAAUUAUAGUUGGUUUACAAUGUGCCAAUUUCUGUUGUACAGCAAAGUGACCAAGUCAUACGUAUACAUUCCAUUUCUUUUUUCUUUUUUUUUUUUUUGAGGGUUUAAAACUUUGAUUGGCGUAUACUUGACUUACAGUAUUAUAUUAGUUUCAGGAGUACAGCAAGUUGAAUCAGUUGUACAUAACCUAUAUCUAUUCUUUUUCAGAUUCUUUUCCUAUGUAAGUUAUUGCAGAGUAUUGAGUAGAUUUCCCUGUGCUAUACAGUAGGUCCUUGUUAGUUAUUUAUUUUAUGUGUAAUUGUGUAUAUGUAAAUCCAAGACUCCCAAUUUAUCCCCCCCAUAGUUUCUCCUUUAGUAACUAUAAGUUUGAUUUUGAAAUCUGUGAGUAUAUUUUAUCAAGUUCUUUUAUAUAAUUUUUAUUAUAUUCCACAUACAAAUAAUCUCAGAUGGUAUUUGUCUUUCUCUGUCUGACAUACUUCACUUAGUAUGACAAUCUCUAGGUCUAACCAUGUUGCUACAAAUGGCAUUAUUUCAUUCUUUUUUUUAUGACUACCAUUCCAUUGUAUAUAUGUACCACAUCUUCUUUAUCCAUUUAUUUGUUUUUUUCCAUUAUAGUUGGCUUACAGUGUUCUGUCAAUUUCUACUGUACAGUAAAGUGACCCAGUCACACAAAUAUACACAUUCUUUUUCUCACAUUAUCCUCCAUCAUGUUGCAUCACAAGUGACUAGGUAUAGUUCCCUGUGCUAUACAGCAUGAUCUCAUUGCCUAUCUAUUCCAGAGGCGAUAGUUUGCAUCUAUUAACCCCAGACUUCCAGUCCAUCCUACUCCCUCCCCAUCCCCUGUUCUCCAAGUCCAUGAGUUUAUUUUCUGUGGAAAGGUUCAUUUGUCCAGUAUAUUAGAUUCCAGAUAUAAGUGAUAUGAUAUUGUAUUUGUCUUUUUCUUUCUGACUUACUUCACUUAGUAUGAGCAUCUCUAGUUCCAUCCAUAUCGCUGCAAAUGGCAUUAUUUCAUUCUUUUUUAUGGCUGAGUAUAUUCCAUUGUGUAUAUAUACAUCUUCUUAAUACAUUCCUUUUAUUAUCUUUCAUCAUGUUUUAUCUCCAAAGACUGGAUAUAGUUCCCUGUGCUGUGCAGUAGGACCUCAUUGUUUAUACAUAAUAAAUGUGAUAGUUUGCACUGACUAACCCCAAACUCCCAGUCCAUCCCACUUUCUCCCCACUCCCCCUUGGCAACCACAAGUCUGUUCUCUAUGUCUGUGAGUGUGUUUCUGUUCUGUGGAUAGAUUCAUCUGUGCCAUAUUUUAGAUUCCACAUAUAAGUGAUAUGGUAUGGUAUUUUUCUUUCUGACUUACUUCACUUUGUAUGAGAAUCUUGUUUCAUCUGCAUUGCUGCAAAUGGCAUUAUUUUGUUCUUUUUAUGGCUGAGUAAUAUUCUUUUGUGUAUGUAUAUCACAUCUUCUUAAUCCUUUCAUCUGUUGAUGGACAUUUAGGUUGUUUCUAUGUAGUGACAAGUUUUGAUCAAAACUUGAACAUGUGUUUGAAAAUAAGAGGAUACACCUUUAAUUUCUGCUUGUGUGGGUGUGGCAGAAGAGAAUGGAGGCUUGGACAGUAAUUGCCAAUCACAAGCAGAACAAUUCUCCACCACCCCACACCCUCUGAAAAUCUCAGGGCCUCUGGAUCUCUUCCUUGAGAUUUGAUGGAGAUUGACAAGUUGUUUAAUGAGAUAUCUUCUGCUUCCUCACAGAGGGACUCCAGUGCUCAUUAUAGAAACCUACAGAAAAAAUAGUUUCAUAGUUAAUGAAAAUAAGAGUAGAUAUGAGAGAGGGUGCCAUUAAAGAAACUUGUCCUCUAAAGUCAAAAUAUAUGAACAAAUUCAGAAUAUUAAAAUCUGUAUAGAAAACUCUCUGGGCUCUCCAGACACAUCAAUCUCAUGAAAGACAAAAAUAGUGAUGAGAAGGAGCUGUGCUAGUUGAAAAGAGAGUGUAUAGACAUAAUCAAAUGCAACAUGUGAAACUUGAGUGGAUUUGGAUCAGGAAAAAGAAAAGAUGUGAAAGAUGUUUUGGGGCACAAUUGAAAAUAAUUUAAAUAUGGACUCUAUUACAUAAUGUUAUUGAUUUUACAUUAAUCUUCUUAAGUAUGGCAUUGAUUUCCUGGCUAUAGAGAAGACCUUUAUUCUUGGAGCAUUAAAUG